rnacentral:rRNA from 1 species
AGCUUGCUUUGAUUUCAUGAGAGUGGCGCACGGGUGCGUAACGCGUGAGCAACCUACCCAUAUCAGGGGGAUAGCCUCUCGAAAGAGAGAUUAACACCGCAUAACAUCAUUAACCGGCAUCGGAUUAUGAUCAAAUAUUUAUAGGAUAUGGAUGGGCUCGCGUGACAUUAGCUAGUUGGAGAGGUAACGGCUCACCAAGGCUACGAUGUCUAGGGGCUCUGAGAGGAGAAUCCCCCACACUGGUACUGAGACACGGACCAGACUCCUACGGGAGGCAGCAGUAAGGAAUAUUGGUCAAUGGAGGCAACUCUGAACCAGCCAUGCCGCGUGCAGGAUGACUGCCCUAUGGGUUGUAAACUGCUUUUGUCAGGGAAUAAACCUUUCUACGUGUAGAAAGCUGAAUGUACCUGAAGAAUAAGGAUCGGCUAACUCCGUGCCAGCAGCCGCGGUAAU